GGGGGCGGACAGGCGGCCGCCGCGCGGUGAAACGCGGGGAGGAAAGUCCGGACGCCGCAGGGCAAGGCGCUCCCUAACGGGGAGCGGGAGAAAUCCCAGGGAAAGUGCCACAGAAAACAUACCGCCCAAUUCGUUGGGCAAGGGUGAAAUGGCGAGGUAAGAGCUCACCGGGCGGGCGGCGACGUCCGCCGCAUGGAAAACCCCGCCUGGCGCAAGGCCGAAUAGGAGGGCGCGUCCCGAAAGGGACGGGGGACUGCCCGUCCCAAAAGCCCUCGGGUUGGUCGCUUGACCGCGCCGGCAACGGCGCGGCUAGAGAAAUGGCCGCCGCCCUUUGAAAGAAGGGACAGAAUCCGGCUUAUCG
rnacentral:RNase_P_RNA from 1 species